UACGGGGGGGGUAAGCGUUGUUCGGAAUUACUGGGCGUAAAGGGCUCGUAGGCGGCCAACUAAGUCGGACGUGAAAUCCCUCAGCUUAACUGGGGAACUGCGUCCGAUACUGGAUGGCUUGGAUUUGGGAGAGGGAUGCGGAAUUCCAGGUGUAGCGGUGGAAUGCGUAGAGAUCGGGAAGAACAUCGGUGGCGAAGGCGGUCUGCUGGGCCGUUGCUGACGCUGAGGCGCGACAGCGUGGGGAGCAAACAGG
rnacentral:rRNA from 1 species